rnacentral:rRNA from 1 species
AACCAGCUCUGCGAGUGCCUAGGACGAUUAUUGGGCUUAAAGCAUCCGUAGCCGGAUGAGUAGGUCUCUGGUUAAAUCUGCAAGCUUAACUUGUAGGCUGUCAGAGAUACCACUCAUCUAGGGAAUAGGAGAGGUGAACGGUACUGCGGGAGAAGCGGUGAAAUGCGUUGAUUCCCGCAGGACCCACAGUGGCGAAGGCGGUUCACUGGAAUAUCUCCGACGGUGAUGGAUGAAAGCCAGGGGAGCGAAAGGGAUUAGAUACCCCAGUA